AUUGAACGCUGGCGGCAUGCCUUACACAUGCAAGUCGAACGGUAACGCGGGGCAACCUGGCGACGAGUGGCAAACGGGUGAGUAAUGUAUCGGAACGUGCCCAGUUGUGGGGGAUAACUGCUCGAAAGAGCAGCUAAUACCGCAUACGACCUGAGGGUGAAAGCGGGGGAUCGCAAGACCUCGCGCAAUUGGAGCGGCCGAUAUCAGAUUAGGUAGUUGGUGGGGUAAAGGCCUACCAAGGCGACGAUCUGUAGCGGGUCUGAGAGGAUGAUCCGCCACACUGGACUGAGACACGGCCCAGACUCCUACGGGAGGCAGCAGUGGGGAAUUUUGGACAAUGGGGGCAACCCUGAUCCAGCCAUGCCGCGUGCGGGAAGAAGGCCUUCGGGUUGUAAACCGCUUUUAGCCGGGACGAAAGCGCCACGGAUAACACCCGUGGCGGUUGACGGUACCGGCGGAAUAAGCACCGGCUAACUACGUGCCAGCCGCCGCAGUAACAC
rnacentral:rRNA from 1 species